rnacentral:rRNA from 1 species
UGCUAGUUGCACGAGUUCAGACUCGUAGCAGAUAGCUCAGUAACACGUGGCCAAACUACCCUAUGGAUCCGGACAACCUCGGGAAACUGAGGCUAAUCCGGAAUACAGUUCGCAGCCUGGAGUGGCGCGAACUGGAAACGUUGCGGCGCCAUAGGAUGUGGCUGCGGCCGAUUAGGUAGACGGUGGGGUAACGGCCCACCGUGCCAAUAAUCGGUACGGGUUGUGAGAGCAAGAGCCCGGAGACGGAAUCUGAGACAAGAUUCCGGGCCCUACGGGGCGCAGCAGGCGCGAAACCUUUACACUGCACGAGAGUGCGAUAAGGGGACUCCAAGUGCGAGGGCAUAUAGUCCUCGCUUUUCACCACCGUAAGGAGGUGGUAGAAUAAGUGCUGGGCAAGACCGGUGCCAGCCGCCGCGGUAAUACCGGCAGCACGAGUGAUGACCGCUAUUAUUGGGCCUAAAGCGUCCGUAGCUGGCCUUGCAAGUCCAUCGGGAAAUCCGCGUGCUCAACGCGCGGGCGUCCGGUGGAAACUGUGGGGCUUGGGACCGGAAGAUCCAGAGGGUACGUCCGGGGUAGGAGUGAAAUCCCGUAAUCCUGGACGGACCACCGGUGGCGAAAGCGCUCUGGAAGGACGGAUCCGACGGUGAGGGACGAAAGCUUGGGUCACGAACCGGAUUAGAUACCCGGGUAGUCCAAGCUGUAAACGAUGUCUGCUAGGUGUGACACAGGCUACGAGCCUGUGUUGUGCCGUAGGGAAGCCGUGAAGCAGACCGCCUGGGAAGUACGUCCGCAAGGAUGAAACUUAAAGGAAUUGGCGGGGGAGCACUACAACCGGGAGGAGCCUGCGGUUUAAUUGGACUCAACGCCGGACAUCUCACCAGCAUCGACAAUGUGCAGUGAAGGUCAGUGUGAUGAGCUUACUGGAGCCAUUGAAAAGGAGGUGCAUGGCCCGCCGUCAGCUCGUACCGUGGAGGCGUCCUUGUUAAGUCAGGG